GAGUUUAGUAGAAUACUUGGGGUAUCUUAAAGGCACAAACACUUCUAGAAGUGUUUAUGAAGAUCGAUGGAACAUAUUGGGUUGAUCGAUGACCGCCCUUCAGACUGAAUAUGCCACUCUGGAAUAAACAUAUUUUUCUUUCAUAAUGAGAUUACCGCCAGUGGGGAAUAUUUUCAAUAAGAAUUAUACCAAUUAGCAUCUUAACCACGGGAAUGGUACGCAAAAAUCUCAAGAAAUAUGAAGAACCUAGGACCAAUAUAAUUUGGAAGGAGUUUUUUUUAAUAGCAAGGAUAGUGCGAAAAUGACUGAGAAACGAUAAUAUGGACCACGAUAACAAGUACCAGAGACGAUCGAGUUCAAUCCUUUUGAUACGUCAAUAUCUCAGAUAAGUGGUUAGUGGGAAUGGAGAAAACCAACUGCGAGGAGUGUUUUCUCCUAAGCUGUUAGGCUGAAAUUUGGUAAUAAAUAAUAAUAUACUGUUAACUGCGUGCAUAAGUUUUGAUUUUAAUAAAAAGUAAAAAAUAUGUUUGAUUCCAGGCAGGAUAACUUUCCCCUUAAUUUUGAUGUUAUAACAUGAAUGUAUGGAUAGAUUUUCUUUGUUUUUCAACUGAAUGAUACAACAGUAUCUAAUUUAAUAUAAAAAGUCAUUAUAAAAAUCUUACCAAGUAUCUGAAAAAGUAUCUCAAGAUAAGUAUCUAAGUUUGUUUGUUUGAAGUAUUUGCAUAUUCAAGCAUCUUACUUUGCAAAAAAUUAUCUUAUCUUGUAUAUAGAUCUCUCGCUAAGUAUCACAGAUCUGCAUGUGAUAUUUGCUUUAUCACAUCAGAAAAGUGUUUAGAAUAAAUAAUGAUGUGGUUAUUAUUUUUAUUAAAAUGAUUGUCCCAAGCAUGCUUUAAUAUAUCCAUGAUAAUAAUGGUUUUUAUUUGGCUUUCUUUACAUUACCAGAAAAAUAUGCUAGGAGAACUUUCUGAUAUUUCCCCAACUUUUUUCAAGUUAAACCACUUCUAAAUUUUCUCCAAUUUCUUUUCGUUUUUGAUACAGGAUUUCGCAGGCCCAUAGAUUGUAUGAUCUCAUUCUCUGCUAAUUCCAUCUCAAAAUCAUUAAUUUCUUGGUCGGACCUGAUGUUGAUAAUUUCUUGUGAAUGUGUAAGAAAACAGUAAAGUCGAUAGUUCAUGAAAUCAGUGAUAUUCAAGAAAAAAACGAAAUUGAAAAAUUAUUCAAUAUUUUUGAAUGUAUAAGCAUUGUUUUGGCAGUCAAAUAUUGCACUAAUAUUAAUAUUGUAAAUUUAUAUUACGAUAUAUUUUCAACUGAAUCUGCUAGGCUGAGUUUGAUAAAAUCUAUCUUAUAUAUGAAUCUUUAUUUCAUUCCCAAAUUGUUUGAAAAUACACAGGGUGUAUCAAAACAGUGUAAAUGGCCAAACAUGUUUUUUCUUAUGGAACAUCCUAUUUUUUAUGAUUUUUCUGAUUGAAUGAAUUAAAUCAAGAUUGUUUCAUAUAUUUAAAACUUACUGUUUCUAAGAUAUUUCGAUUUUUCAUAAAUUGAAGGGUACCCCAUUUGGAAAAAGCCCGAUUUUAAUGUGUGAAUAAGUCGUCAAUGAAUUAUCUCUUCAACACCCAGUAGAGUUAUAAAUAAUUAUCGGAGUUAGUACUUUCUUAGAAGGACUUUGGAAGUAACACGCCUAUAAAAGAUCAGAAAUGAGGAGAUACUUAGAAAAAUGGGAGUGGAAGGAAUGCUAUACUAAGAUAUUGAAGCGAAACAACUGAUCUGGAAUGGGCACUUACAAAGAAUGGGUGACCAGAGACUUCCAAAGAAGGUGCUGGAGUGGAUCCCCACACAACGCUGAAAACGAGGACGACCAAAGAAUACUUGGAAUGAGGGCG